rnacentral:rRNA from 1 species
CCUACGGGCGGCAGCAGUGAGGAAUAUUGGUCAAUGGGCGAGAGCCUGAACCAGCCAAGUAGCGUGAAGGAUGACUGCCCUACGGGUUGUAAACUUCUUUUAUAAAGGAGUAAAAUGCGUCACGUGUGCCUUUUUGUCUGUACUUUAUGAAUAAGCAUCGGCUAACUCCGUGCCAGCAGCCGCGGUAAUACGGAGGAUCCGAGCGUUAUCCGGAUUUAUUGGGUUUAAAGGGAGCGUAGAUGGGAUGUUAAGUUAGUUGGGAAAGUUUUCGGCUUAACCAUAACAUUGCAAUUGAUACUGGCAGGCUUGAGUACAGUCGAGGUAGGCGGAAUUAGUGGUGUAGCGGUGAAAUGCUUAGAUAUAACGAAGAACUCCGAUAGCGAAGGCAGCUUACCAAACUGCCUCUGACAUUGAUGCUCGAAAGUGUGGGUAGCAAACAGGAUUAGAUACCCGUGUAGUC